GGGAGGGAGACACCGUGACUCAGUCACUCAGCUGAGUCACCGUCCUGGCAGCAGCAAUUUGGGUGGUGCCACUGUCACCACCCUCCUCCCUCAGAGCCCUGCCUGGACUCACUCCCUGCCUGCAGGAGACUCUUCUCAUCAGGGACUGAGAGCAAUUUAAGUUCCCGCACUAAGAAUGUGAAAAGAAGCAUCAGCAGAAUGUGUGUGCCAUUUGGCAUUUGGACCCAACCACCUGAAGAUAAUUUUUCUGCAUCUGAGGGAUGAUGUGAAAUGUUUAUCCUGCUGGAGAGCACAGCCCGUGGGACACUUAGAAAGUCUUGCUGGGGCUCAGGGCUGCCAGAUCUGACUCCAGGCACCCUGCCUGGUGUCCUUGUCACCAGGGACAGGGCUGGGAUGGGAGCUCCACUCCAUCCUGAGAGCCAUGUCCCCAUGGCAGGGUCAAACUGGGCAGUACCCGUGGCACAGUCAACUCAUUCCAGCUCUGGAUUCCCACCAGGCACAGGGGGUUUGGAAAUUUCUGCAGGGCACUCAGCAGGAGGGGGAGACGUGCCCUUGUUGAUUGUCACCAAGAUCAUCAAUUUAAGCCAGAUUAGGAUCAGGCUUGGGACAACCACUUGGAAAGCAGGACCCUUGUCAAGGAACUGAAGGAUUUGGCAGGCCCAGCAGUACACCGCAUUUUUGGAGAGUGUGGGGCGAGUUCUGCACUGAUUUACUGCACUGCAGAAUGUGGAAUCCAUUGGUGUUAGUCAGGUGAGACAAGAUCACAGAACUUAGUGUGUUCU
rnacentral:lncRNA from 1 species